rnacentral:rRNA from 1 species
UGAACCUGCGGAGGGAUCAUUACACAAUUAAAAUAUGAAGGCCCUUCAAACCGGCUGGAUUAUUUUUAUUCACCCUUGUCUUUUGCGCACUUGUUGUUUCCUGGGCGGGUUCGCUCGCCACCAGGACCACAUUAUAAACCUUUUUUGUUAAUGCAAUCAGCGUCAGUAUAACAAAUGUAAAUCAUUUACAACUUUCAACAACGGAUCUCUUGGUUCUGGCAUCGAUGAAGAACGCAGCGAAAUGCGAUACGUAGUGUGAAUUGCAGAAUUCAGUGAAUCAUCGAAUCUUUGAACGCACAUUGCGCCCUUUGGUAUUCCAAAGGGCAUGCCUGUUCGAGCGUCAUUUGUACCCUCAAGCUUUGCUUGGUGUUGGGCGUUGUUUGUCUUUGGUCCGCCCAAAGACUCGCCUUAAAACAAUUGGCAGCCGGCCUACUGGUUUCGCAGCGCAGCACAUUUUUGCGCUUGCAAUCAGCAAAAGAGGUUGGUCAUCCAUCAAGACUACAUUUAUACGUUUGACCUCGGAUCAGGUAGGGAUACCCGCUGAACUUAAGCAUAUCAAUAAAGCGGAGGAA